AUACGGGGGAUUCAAGCGUUAUCCGGACUUAUUGGGUUUAAAGGGUGCGCAGGCGGGAGAUUAAGUCGGCGGUGAAAUUUUGCAGCUCAACUGUAAAAGUGCCUUCGAAACUGGGUUUCUUGAGUGUAGAUGAAGUAGGCGGAAUUUGUGGUGUAGCGGUGAAAUGCAUAGAUAUCACGAGGAACUCCGAUUGCGCAGGCAGCUUACUAAACUACUACUGACGCUCAGGCACGAAGGCGUGGGGAUCAAACAGGAUUAGAUACCCUGGUAGUCCACGCAGUAAACGAUGAUUACUAGCUGUUUGCGAUACAAUGUAAGCGGCUGAGCGAAAGCGUUAAGUAAUCCACCUGGGGAGUACGUUCGCAAGAAUGAAACUCAAAGGAAUUGACGGGG
rnacentral:rRNA from 1 species